ACCAGACUAUUGUAAUUCCUUAUUAUCAAGACGUCCCAAUAAUUCUCUUAAACAUCUCCUUUUGAUGAAGCUUACUGCUGGCAAAGCUGACUAUACUGUUCUCACUACGUGUUGUAUACGCCCAGUAUGUUAACGUAGAUUAACAGCAAGCCAAACUCGAUUUUACGAGCCAGGAUCAGAGCGUCUUGCUCCCUUUAUUCAAGAUGACUCAUGAAAUUACGAGUGAAACUGUAACAACAAGAAGAAAAAAACAAGAAGAAUGUUCACAAUCACUGUAUAAGUUCCUUAAUUUGGACAGAUCAAAACUAAGCUCCAACAUCAGCUUUAAUAUAUACAUUGUACUGCAAUGAACUAGUGAGGUAAAUUAUUAACAAGAUAAAUGCCGACUGAUGGUCCAAUUUAUGCCACUAGAUGGCGGUAUUGUCAUGCUGAACAACAUAGCCAAGCUAACAUGUGUCAGAGCUAACAGCACAAAGUUACAAAACGAUCUCUAAAAACACACAUAAGGCACUUAAAAGUAUUGCAAUUGUAUGACUUUAACUUCCAAACAACUUAUUACUUACUGCCAUUGCUUUCUGGAGCAUGAGAAGGUUUGAGGAGAGAGGACGGAUUUCGCCCGUCUGCAUCAACUACGCAGCUUCUUAUCAGCAGUUUCCGACAAUUUACAGCAAUGCGCUGCGGCUUCCACAAAAAGCCCCUUCAAAAUAAAAUACUAAAAUGCUG